CAAUUUAGAGCUUGACGUAAGUAUUUUAGUUACAUUAAAAUGAUGACUGUUAAAAUCAGUUUAGAUUGA
rnacentral:tRNA from 1 species